UGGGAAUUGUGAACUAAAUGUCACGCAUUGUGUGCAAAUUACAGUGACCAAGUCAAGACCCAACUGGGGCAGUCUGGCCAAACCCUGUGCUCUUAAUCCCCUGCCACUGACAAUGCUUUCUGAUAACGUUCUGCUGGGAUCCUAGAGCAAACUUGGUGGGGAUGACAACAGCAGGAGUAUGCCUGAGGUAUUAUGAGCAGCAUCUUCGUUAACCCCUCAGUAACCCAUUCAUACUGUUAGUGCAUGUUUAUUCCUGAGCUUGAUGCACAGUGAGGCCGGACAAAGGGAAACAUCAGUUUGGAGCAGAGAAAGUUUUGUUGCUGGUCCAUGCAAGGAGAUGGGUGGCUCAUAUCCUAAGAAGUCCUGAGCUCCCUGGAGGGUUUCCACAAAGCAUUUUUAAAAGCAAGAAGCUCCCUCAACAGAAGACAAGAGUGAGACACAAAGGCAAAGCAACCAGGCAGUCACGGAAAUAUUUAAGGUCACAAGGUGAACAAGUCUCAAAGCCAAGAAAAGAAUUCCAAAGAAGUCAUCUGAAAGAAACAAUGGAUUAUGUCUUCUGCAAACAAUGUUCCCAACGGAAAAACUCACGUUGGGCAAUCUCCUUGUA